UCCCUGGUAGCUCAGCUGGUAAAGAAUCUGCCUGCAAUGCAGGAGAUCCUGGUUCGAUUCCUGGGUUGGGAA
rnacentral:tRNA from 1 species